rnacentral:rRNA from 1 species
GAGAUAGCCAUGCGAGUUAACGUAGCAAUACGUGGCGCACGGCUCAGUAACACGUAGUCAACAUGCCCAGGGGACGUGGAUAACCUCGGGAAACUGAGUCUAAACCGCGAUAAGUGAGGAUUUCUGGAAUGGUUCCUGACUAAAAUCUAUAUGGCCUCUGGAUUGGACUGCGGCCGAUCAGGCUGUUGGUGAGGUAAUGGCCCACCAAACCUGUAACCGGUACGGGCUCUGAGAGGAGGAGCCCGGAGAUGGGCACUGAGACAAGGGCCCAGGCCCUAUGGGGCGCAGCAGGCGCGAAACCUCUGCAAUAGGCGAAAGCCUGACAGGGUUACUCUGAGUGACUUUCGCUAAGAAAGUCUUUUGGCACCUCUAAAAAGGGUGCAGAAUAAGGGGUGGGCAAGUCUGGUGUCAGCCGCCGCGGUAAUACCAGCACCCCGAGUGGUCGGGACGAUUAUUGGGCCUAAAGCAUCCGUAGCCGGUUCUGCAAGUCCCCCGUUAAAUCCAGCUGCUCAACAGAUGGGCCGCGGAGGAUACUACAGAGCUAGGAGGCAGGAGAGGCAAGCGGUACUCAGUGGGUAGGGGUAAAAUCCGUUGAUCCAUUGAAGACCACCAGUGGCGAAGGCGGCUUGCCAGAAUGCGCUCGACGGUGAGGGAUGAAAGCUGGGGGAGCAAACCGGAUUAGAUACCCGGGUAGUCCCAGCCGUAAACGAUGCAGACUCGGUGAUGGGUUGGCUUCGCGCUAACCCAGUGCCGCAGGGAAGCCGUUAAGUCUGCCGCCUGGGUAGUACGGUCGCAAGACUGAAACUUAAAGGAAUUGGCGGGGGAGCACCACAAGGGUGAGGCCUGCGGUUC